ACGGAGGAUCCGAGCGUUAUCCGGAUUUACUGGGUUUAAAGGGUGCGUAGGCGGACGCCUAAGUCAGCGGUGAAAUACGGGGGCUCAACCUUCGAACUGCCGUUGAUACUGUGCGUCUUGGAUUCGGUCGAGGCGGGCGGAAUGCGUGGUGUAGCGGUGAAAUGCUUAGAUAUCACGCAGAACGCCGAUUGCGAAGGCAGCUCGCCGGGCCGAUAUCGGCGCUGAGGCACGAAAGCGUGGGGAUCGAACAG
rnacentral:rRNA from 1 species